rnacentral:tRNA from 1 species
UGGCUCAGUGGUUAAGAGCACUGACUGCUCCUUCAGAAGUCCUGAGUUCAAUUCUCAG